rnacentral:rRNA from 1 species
GCAAGUCGAGCGCGCCCUUCGGGGUGAGCGGCGGACGGGUGAGUAACGCGUGGGAACGUGCCCUUUGCUGCGGAAUAGCCACUGGAAACGGUGAGUAAUACCGCAUGAGCCCUUCGGGGGAAAGAUUUAUCGGCAAAGGAUCGGCCCGCGUUGGAUUAGGUAGUUGGUGGGGUAAUGGCCUACCAAGCCGACGAUCCAUAGCUGGUUUUAGAGGAUGAUCAGCCACACUGGGACUGAGACACGGCCCAGACUCCUACGGGAGGCAGCAGUGGGGAAUCUUAGACAAUGGGCGCAAGCCUGAUCUAGCCAUGCCGCGUGAGUGACGAAGGCCCUAGGGUCGUAAAGCUCUUUCGCCUGUGAUGAUAAUGACAGUAGCAGGUAAAGAAACCCCGGCUAACUCCGUGCCAGCAGCCGCGGUAAUACGGAGGGGGUUAGCGUUGUUCGGAAUUACUGGGCGUAAAGCGCGCGUAGGCGGAUUGGAAAGUUGGGGGUGAAAUCCCGGGGCUCAACCCCGGAACUGCCUCCAAAACUUCCAGUCUGGAGUUCGAGAGAGGUGAGUGGAAUUCCGAGUGUAGAGGUGAAAUUCGUAGAUAUUCGGAGGAACACCAGUGGCGAAGGCGGCUCACUGGCUCGAUACUGACGCUGAGGUGCGAAAGUGUGGGGAGCAAACAGGAUUAGAUACCCUGGUAGUCUACACCGUAAACGAUGAAUGCCAGUCGUCGGCAAGCAUGCUUGUCGGUGACACACCUAACGGAUUAAGCAUUCCGCCUGGGGAGUACGGCCGCAAGGUUACAACUCAAAUGAAUUGACGGAA